ACAAUACUUAUAAUGGUAGGUCUUUACUUUUCAAUUUUCAAUAAAAUUUGAAUCAUCACUCUGAUUAAUGCAUAGAUAACUGAAAAGCCACAUUGAAGGUUAGUGGUUAAGAGAAUGGGAAGUUGCCUGCUGAACUCUUUAAAUCACCUUGGUUCCAACACGGUUCAAAAUAAUCUCCCCAUUUCGCCAAAGCCGUCGCAGAGUGCCUCAAGAGAUGUUCAACUGCACCCCUUAAAAAAGUGUUCUAGAAUGGGAGUUAGACGUGAAGUCUCAAUCUCACUUGAUGGAGUAGGAGACAAGAACAUUAUGCAGCUCAAGAAGCCUAAAUGGCUCUCUUAUCUGUUCUUUACAACGAUAAAUACUAUUCUGAUGGACUUGCUUCCUCCAAUUUCACCAAACUAGGGUUUUUGACUAUUUUCAUGGUUAGUGGAGCAUUUGAAAUGGAUGUCGAGAACAAUCUUCACAUGCAAAAGUAAAUUGGAUAGCAAAAGUGGAGCAUUUCUGUAGUGAUAAGUUGGAUAGCAAAAGUAAGGACAAUCUAUCUCAUGGAAAGACUUUCUAUCAUGAAACCAGUAUGCUACACAACAUUUGCAAUGGUCUGGAAAAUUUUCUACAACCCAGAUAAGUUAGCUUUUUGACUACAUUGAAUAUGAACAAUUAUAAGCUUGAAUUCUUUGUUUUUGCCGCAAAGGUGUUGUAUCUAGAUACAAUUGAAUUUGGAACCAACUCCAAUGACUCUCCAUUAGGCGAAGAGUUGCGUGUGACAACAACAAAGAAUUUUGAUAGAAAAGAAAAGACGUUAAAAUAGUUGUUUCCGCUAAAAGGCCACGAAUUGAAUUAUGUCUUGAAAAUCAUAAUGGGUUGAACGCACAUGAGAAAUCAGAGAGCUCAUUUGCAUUUAGAAGUAACAUCUAUUACGAUCAUCUGCAUAAUUCUAUUUAUUUUACACUUACUGUUGUUCUAAAUUCUGCUCGCAUUCCACAUGUCAAUGUUGGUGGUGGUGCUGCUUGGUUGUCUUACCGUGGUAAUGCACUGGAUUUUUCAUUGUUGUUAAUAUACGAAACAGCUGAGCAUGUGGGAGAUUUGAGCCUUCACCUCCAGCUCAUAUAACUGCUGCUGGCUUUGGAGCACUAGUACAAAAAUGUUAAUUUACACCCGUUUUUUAUUAAAUUUACACCCAUUAUUUUUAAUAAAAAUCGGGUGUAUAUCCACAGGGUGAGAAAUGUCUAACGCAUUUACACCCUAUUUUAAAACGGGUGUAAAUACGUUCGUAAUUACUCCCUAUUUUAAGAAUAUCGGGUGUAAAUAUGUUCUACGUUACACCCUAUUUUAACAAA